AAAUGCUUAUGUACUCAACAGAUAUUUUAUGAUCAAGUGUUGCUAACAUUUUUGUUAUUUUGUUGUUGAUGUGUUAGGCACGUGGUUGAAAACAGCCAACCACCAGUUUUAAUCUGCCAUAAUGACGUACAACCAGGAAACUUGUUGGUGAAAGCAAAUGAAGAUCUCGAUGAG